rnacentral:tRNA from 2 species
GCGGGCGUGGCGGAAUUGGCAGACGCGCCGGACUCAAAAUCCGGUUCCCCGGCGAGGGGAGUGUCGGUUCGACCCCGACCGCCCGCACCA